GGGUCAAUGAUGAGAACUCAUAAUGUCUCGAAGACAGAUGAUGACCUAAAAAUAAUGCUCAAUACGAUUAAGCUGAGGCCC
ensembl:snoRNA SNORD115 Small nucleolar RNA SNORD115